CCUACGGGAGGCAGCAGUGAGGAAUAUUGGUCAAUGGGCGCGAGCCUGAACCAGCCAAGUCGCGUGAGGGAAGACGGCCCUACGGGUGGUAAACCUCUUUUGCCGGGGAGCAACGGGCGCCACGUGUGGCGCCACUGAGAGUAUCCGGAGAAAAAGCAGCGGCUAACUCCGUGCCAGCAGCCGCGGUAAUACGGAGGAUGCGAGCGUUAUCCGGAUUUAUUGGGUUUAAAGGGUGAGUAGGCGGAGCUUUAAGUCAGUGGUCAAAUUGGGGGCCUCAACCCCUUUCCGCCAUUGAUACUGGCGCUCGUGAGUGUAAGAGAAGUAUGCGGAAUGCGUGGUGUAGCGGUGAAAUGCAUAGAUAUCACGCAGAACCCCGAUUGCGAAGGCAGCAUGCCGGCUUCCGACUGACGCUGAAGCACGAAAGCGUGGGGAUCGAACAGGAUUAGAUACCCGUGUAGUC
rnacentral:rRNA from 1 species